UUUUUUUAAACUCUUAUUAUUCUAUUACAUAUUGGUGAUGUUUUUGCCAUUAUUUUACACAUUGGUUCUGCUUGCUUGUUUGCUUAUCUUUCUGUUUAUGGCGUUUGUUUUGGGUUUUACCCUUGCGGUUGCUUGAAGGGGUAAAACAAACACCGACACAAAGAUCCCUUUCUUAGUUUCUAGUUUGUCUUUAGCUAACUUCCUAGUUUGGUAGUUCUUCUAAUAAUGCUAUACUAUCAAAUUAUUCAAUAACUUUAAUAAUAGUGGACAACAGUUACUAACCAUAUCAAUAAUUUAAUUUCAGUUUAACAAUGCAG
rnacentral:lncRNA from 1 species